GACGAACGCUGGCGGCGUGCCUAAUACAUGCAAGUCGAACGAGGUCCAAGGGAGCUUGCUCCCUGACGACCUAGUGGCGAACGGGUGAGUAACACGUGAGAAACCUGCCCUGGAGUGGGGAAUAACUCGGGGAAACUCGAGCUAAUACCGCAUACCUUCACAUGAUCGCAUGGUCGAGUGAAGAAAGAUUCAUCGCUCUGGGAGGGUCUCGCGGCCUAUCAGCUUGUUGGUGGGGUAACGGCCUACCAAGGCAACGACGGGUAGCUGGUUUGAGAGAACGAUCAGCCACACUGGGACUGAGACACGGCCCAGACUCCUACGGGAGGCAGCAGUAGGGAAUCUUGCGCAAUGGGCGAAAGCCUGACGCAGCAACGCCGCGUGCGGGAUGACGGCCUUCGUGGUUGUAAACCGCUUUCAGCAGGGACGAAAUUGACGGUACCUGCAGAAGAAGCCCCGGCUAACUACGUGCCAGCAGCCGCCGUAAGAC
rnacentral:rRNA from 1 species